rnacentral:rRNA from 1 species
AGAGUUUGAUCCUGGCUCAGGACGAACGCUGGCGGCGUGCUUAACACAUGCAAGUCGAACGGUGACGAAUGGUGCUUGCACUGUUCCGAUCAGUGGCGAACGGGUGAGUAACACGUGAGUAACCUGCCCCAGACUCUGGAAUAACCCCGGGAAACCGGAGCUAAUACCGGAUAUGACAUCAGAUCGCAUGGUCAUGGUGUGGAAAGUUUUUCGGUCUGGGAUGGACUCGCGGCCUAUCAGCUUGUUGGUGAGGUAAUGGCUCACCAAGGCGACGACGGGUAGCCGGCCUGAGAGGGCGACCGGCCACACUGGGACUGAGACACGGCCCAGACUCCUACGGGAGGCAGCAGUGGGGAAUAUUGCACAAUGAGCGAAAGCCUGAUGCAGCGACGCCGCGUGAGGGAUGAAGGCCUUCGGGUUGUAAACCUCUUUCAGUAGGGAAGAAGCGAAAGUGACG